ensembl:lncRNA
UACCCUGGGGGACCACAGCAUGCUAAAAAGUCAAGAACAAAGUGGACAGCCCAAUCCGGCACUUUCUACACGACCAACACUGAUAGAAAACCAGGGCUGUGUCAUUCGGCUAGAGCCGAACCAGAGGUGUGUCUCUCUAUUUGGAUAGUUCUUCCUUCUGAAAUCCAAAAGUUGGGAUGUGGUAAACUUCUCAGAUCCUGCUUCUCAAUAUGGUAUUUUACAUGUGUUCUCUAAAAAUACUUUUUCACCUUCUCAGCUUAUAUCAGAGCAAUUUAGCACCAUUUGAUUAGAACGCCCAGCCCUUCUUUGUAGCCAGCCUGGACUGUCCUCCCCGUCUGGAGUCAUUUUGGCUGCAAAGUGAGGUCUCAGCGGGGUCAGCUGGGUGUCCAGACGUCAGGUAUCAGGCGUGUGGUGAGCGCCUCCAAGGCCACUUUCCUCUCAGCAAUGCCCACUAGGUGACGCCUGUGAAUGGAGUAGCUUUCCAGAGAGCAGGCUUCCUCUCUUCCUUCCUUCCCAGGCCCACAUCUUGCCUCGAAGAUGCUUAAGUGGCAGGAUCCUGAAGAAAUUAUUCUCUGCCUGUUGCUUAGAGAGAGGGCACGUGAGGAUCUCAGGCAGCCAGAAUACUCUUGCGACCAGAAUACUGACAUUUCUGCUUAGUGUGUGCGAUGGUCUAAUUAUAAAAGUGGGAAAAAGCCAAAAACUGUAUAACCUGAAGAGUUUUAGAUUUCUGGGUAGGUUCAUAACUGCUUUCCAAAUGCAAACAAAAUUGCCUGAACUAAGGUGGCUUCUGAUCGUCCUGGGGUGGUAAUCUGAAUACGUGAGCAUUCUGGAAGGAGAUUGGAGACAGGUGUGACUGGAGGCAGGUGUGAUUCUUUUGAGUAUAACAGCGGUUCCCAGACUGGAGUGUGCGUCAGAAUCAACUGCAGGUAUUAUGAAACCACAGAUUUCUGGGUCCCACUCCCAGAGUUCCUGAUUUGGAAAGUCUUGGAUGAGGUCUGAGAAUCUGCAUUUCUUACAAGUUCCCAGGUGAUGCUAAUGCGGCUGGUCUGGGGACCUCACCUAGAGAACCUCUGCAGGACAGCGUUCUGUUAACAAUAAGUUUCCAAUGCGCCACCACCCACCGGAAAAAGAGCACACAGUGACUGACAAGAGUGGUGAUUUUUCUUUUUUCCUCUGGACAAGAAACUUCAGUGGCCUGAUACCUAUACUGACCAAUGUUUUUUGAGGAUGAAAUUUAUCAUGAAGCAUGCAAAACUGACCUUCACUGGCAAGGUUUCCUAGCUUGGAUCUGAACACAACCAAUGAGAUCCAGCCGCCUCAUCUUGUAGUGGGACUGCCUCAGUCUUGCAGAGGCAGCAGUAUGUGAACACAAUGAGCUUGGCUGGUGCUUGAAGUAGGAUGCAAAGGACUUGCUGGUAUGGGCCAGACAAGAACUCCUUUGCUUUGUGAAAAUUAGAGACAUCUGUAGUUCUACAACCUGAGUCGAGGAUAAUCAAAGCUCACCCUGCCAGGUGUGAACAGAUUGCUUGUCGGGUCAGGAAGGUGACUCUUUUCCUCCGCCUCCUCUCCUGGGCACCAUCCACAGUCAUUAGGAGGUGUUUUCCAGGAGUGGGUGGGGAGGGAGGGAAGGAGAAUCUGUGUUCUGGUGGGAGAAGGAGAUGCCGGCUGGACCAGGAUGACUCCUACAACUGGCAACGUGCUUCCACUUCCAUGAGACAGUUCCACAGACUCUCCUGCUAAUCUUGGGGCUCGGGGUGAUGCUGUGGAGGAGGAGCACGGACCUCUGAAUGGUUCCAUAUUUGGGUAAUGUUCCAACGGCAACAACUUACUUGUGCUAGGACGUGCAUGUGCAUCCCCUUGACUAGGGAAAGACCUUCCAAAUCUAGGGGGCAGAUUCGCAGAAUGGUCUAUUGCCUCUGGGAAGAUGGGACUCCAAUAAGCCUCUGUGUAGAAAGAAAUGAGGAUGAGGUUCUAGGGUGACACCUGUAUGAUUUUUGUUUUGAAUUUGGAAUUUUAUUUAUUUUUAACUAAUUUAAAUUUAAAGCUGUUAGCCAAGUCAGUCAUUGGAGAAUUUUUAAGUGUGUUUGGAACAACUUGGACUUGUGAACCUACUCUUUUUGAAAAACAGACUUUAUAUUUUAAGGCAAUUUUAGGGUUCACAGCAAAAUUGAAUGCAAGAUACAGAGAUUUCCUACAUGCUCCCUGCCCACCCCCAGACUCCCUCCCAUCCCCCACACUAUCAACAUGCCCCACCAGAGUGGUACAUUUGUUGCAAUUGAUGAACCUACAUUGAUACAUCAUCAGCUAAGUCCAUAGGUUACAUUAGGCCUCAUUCUUGUUGUUGUGCAUUAUGGUUUUAACAAAUGUAUAAGGACAUGUAUCCACCAUUAUAGUCUCAUACAGAACAGUUUCACUACCCUAAAAAUCCUCUGUGCUCUGCGUAUUUAUUCUUCUUGCUCCCCUAAUCCCUGACAACCACUGAUCUUUUACUGUCUCCACGAUUUUGGCUUUUCCAGAAUGUUCUAUAGUUGGAAUCAUAUAAUUUGUAGCCUUUUCAGAUUGGUUUCUUCCACUUAGUAAUAUGCGGUUAAGAUUCCUCCAUGUCUUUUCAGGCUCGAUAGCUCAUAUCUUUUUAGCACUGGGUUGUAUUCCACAGUCUGGAUGUACCACGUCUGUAUGAUUUUGGAAUGGUGGAUUUACUCCUUGGAGCUAAGGGAUGUCACAAACAACGGGGCAGACGUGGAGGACUGCAUGAGUCUUCAGCAGGUGGGAGCUUUCUUCUGCUUGCUGACACUGGAGCAUCACUUGCUUAGCAGUGUGGGAAACCUUCGCUGUCUUUUCACCUUUAAUUUUUGCCUGGACUUUUUUUGCUACCACCU